rnacentral:tRNA from 1 species
CAGGGUAUGGCGCAGAUUGGUAGCGUUCCUGUUUUGGGAACAGGAGGUCACAGGUUCGAAUCCUGUUACCCUGA